rnacentral:misc_RNA from 1 species
AUAGUUGACAAGCCAUUGUCCUACACACAAAGCGACUAAAUCCAAUGGCGAUGGCCCUUUUUACAUCAAAUUAAUAGAUAAAAUUAAAAAAAGGAAAAAUUCUGUCUAAAAAGAUCAGAGACACACACACACAAGAAGGAUCCAUACGAUUACACCAAGUUAAACAGAACUCUCCAUCAAAUCAAAUGGUUAUAGCUAUCCACCUGUCCAAGAAAAAUAAAGAGAGAAAAUCCAAAUGAGAAAGCUUAAUAUCUACGCAUAACUUUGUUAACUUCUAAUGAUCACAGCUUUAGACUAAACAAUAAGUGCAGGUCAUGUCAUAUGGGGACCCCAACCAUCAAUCAAGCCUUGUCUAGAGGGGAAAAAGAAAAGGGGCUGUUUGGCAAUACUAAUGAAAUCAAUAUAAUUAGACACAGUGAUGGAUGCUCACUGAAGAUGAUGAAGAUCAUCACUUGGUAAUGGCAUAAACUGCAUAGAUAAUCCCAGGAAUGUACCCAAGAAGGGUCAGGACCAAACAAAUCCAAAACUCAGCCUGAAGAAACACCAAAUUAUACUCAAGAUUAUACACAAUAAUCACAGAUAAUUAAGACCUGAAAUUAGCAUGAUCAGAAAGCAAAAAUUAAUUUAAGUACCUUGCAACCAUACUUAAGGAAGACCCCAAGAGGAGGCAAGAUGAUGGCCAAGAGGAUAUCUAUGCA